AAUCAACGCUGGCGGCGUGCCUAACACAUGCAAGUCGAACGAGAAAGUGGAGCAAUCCAUGAGUAAAGUGGCGCACGGGUGAGUAACACGUGACUAACCUACCCAGGAGUGGGGAAUAACUUCGGGAAACCGAGGCUAAUACCGCAUAACACCUACGGGUCAAAGGAGCAAUUCGCUUCUGGAGGGGGUCGCGGCCGAUUAGUUAGUUGGCAGGGUAAUGGCCUACCAAGACGAUGAUCGGUAUCCGGCCUGAGAGGGCGCACGGACACACUGGAAC
rnacentral:rRNA from 1 species